rnacentral:lncRNA from 1 species
CAAAUAAAGAGCAUGCUGGACUGUGGGUGGCCAUUGGCCCAACAGGAGCUUUCAAGCAUAAUCUUGCUUAGGGCUUAUGUCAGCAGCAAGCACCGUUAACUAAGUCACAAGAAGGUUAAAAUUCCAGCAUGUGAGAGAAUCUGCUAUGAACAGGAGAUGGAAAGGAAAGGCAAGAAGAACUUGACCCAGGAAGAGAACUUUCUUCAAAAAGACUGGUAACUG